GCUCGUUUGCAGCUCAUCUCCGGGAUGGUGGGGACACUGUUGGGACCGCCUCUGCUAAAGAGGAGGAAGGAAUGGGCAACGGUAGGUCAGCAUGCCCCGAAUUAUCCGGGCUACACGCGGGCUACAAUGGGUGGGACAAUGGGUAUCGACACCGAAAGGUGAAGGCAAUCUCCUAAACCCAUCCUUAGUUCGGAUUGUGGGCUGCAACUCGCCCACAUGAAGCUGGAAUCUGUAGUAAUCGUGUCUCAACAUGGCACGGUGAAUAUGUCCCUGCGCCUUGCACAA
rnacentral:rRNA from 1 species